rnacentral:rRNA from 1 species
GACGAACGCUGGCGGCGUGCUUAACACAUGCAAGUCGAACGGUAAGGCCCUUCGGGGUACACGAGUGGCGAACGGGUGAGUAACGCGUGAGUAACCUGCCCUUCACUCUGGGAUAACAGUUGGAAACGGCUGCUAAUACCGGAUAUUCAGCUCCUGUCGCAUGGUGGGGGCUGGAAAGUUUUGGUGGUGGAGGAUGGGCUCGCGUCCUAUCAGCUUGUUGGUGGGGUGAUGGCCUACCAAGGCGUCGACGGGUAGCCGGCCUGAGAGGGCGACCGGCCACAUUGGGACUGAGAUACGGCCCAAACUCCUACGGGAGGCAGCAGUGGGGAAUAUUGCACAAUGGGCGGAAGCCUGAUGCAGCAACGCCGCGUGCGGGAUGACGGCCUUCGGGUUGUAAACCGCUUUCAGCAGGGACGAAGCGCAAGUGACGGUACCUGCAGAAGAAGCACCGGCUAACUACGUG